AUUGAACGCUGGCGGCAGGCUUAACACAUGCAAGUCGAGCGGGGUGAUGGUGCUUGCACUAUCACUUAGCGGCGGACGGGUGAGUAAUGCUUAGGAAUCUGCCUAUUAGUGGGGGACAACAUCUCGAAAGGGAUGCUAAUACCGCAUACGUCCUACGGGAGAAAGCAGGGGAUCACUUGUGACCUUGCGCUAAUAGAUGAGCCUAAGUUGGAUUAGCUAGUUGGGGGGGUAAAGGCCUACCAAGGCGACGAUCUGUAGCGGGUCUGAGAGGAUGAGCCGCCACACUGGGACUGAGACACGGACCAGACGCCUACGGGAGGCAGCAGUGGGGAAUAUUGGACAAUGGGGGGAACCCUGAGCCAGCCAUGCCGCGUGUGUGAAGAAGGCCUUAUGGUUGUAAAGCACUUUAAGCGAGGAGGAGGCUCUUUUGGUUAAUACCCAAGAUGAGUGGACGUUACUCGCAGAAUAAGCACCGGCUAACUCUGUGCCAGCCGCCGCCGUAA
rnacentral:rRNA from 1 species